rnacentral:rRNA from 1 species
GACAGAGGGUGCAAACGUUUGUUCGGAAUUACUGGGCGUAAAGCGCGUGUAGGCAGCUUGGCAAGUCGGGUGUGAAAGCCCUGGGCUUAACCUAGGAAGUGCACUCGAAACUGCUGGGCUUGAGUUCUGGAGAGGAAGGCGGAAUUCUCGGUGUAGAGGUGAAAUUCGUAGAUAUCGAGAGGAACAUCGGUGGCGAAGGCGGCCUUCUGGACAGUGACGUGACGCUGAGACGCGAAAGCGUGGGGAGCAAACAGGG